AAAAAGAUAGUAAAAGAUCCCUGGGGAUCGAUCGACCAAGAACAGGCAAAGAGAAGGGAAACCCUAAACUCAAUGUAUCAAGAAAUUGAAGCCUAAAUCACAAGAAAAUUCGAUGCAUGAGGCCUCUUUUGCGAAAAACUAACCCUAACUAUAUGAUGGGUAAGGUCGAAGAAAAGAGGAGAAUCAAGCCAAGCAAAGGAAAUAGGAGCGCACAACUCCGGUAAAUCCUCAACUUAGGCGACUCGGCGAAAUGGAGCGAGCACAUGUCCAUGUCAUGUUAUACCAAAUGCUUCCGCUAGCUUAUGUUCAUCUUUAUGGUCCAUGACUUGUUAUUUUUUUUUUUAACUUUGUUAGUAGUCGUACAUUUGUAAAGCUUGUCGACUUGCUUUGAGUAGUUUAAUGUCAAACGGAUCGUAGUAUGUUGUUUAGUUUAUUAUGUUAAAAACAGGGGGCACGUUCGUUUUACGAACGGGUCAUGCCGAAUUUUUGUAAAAAUUUUACUAUGUAUCAAAGUUGGUAUUUUUGAUGUCUUUAA
rnacentral:lncRNA from 1 species